rnacentral:rRNA from 1 species
UACAGAGGUCCCAAGCGUUGUUCGGAUUCACUGGGCGUAAAGGGUGCGUAGGCGGUUGGGUAAGUCUGAUGUGAAAUCUCACAGCUUAACUGUGAAACUGCAUUGGAUACUAUCCAACUCGAGGAAUGGAGGGGAGACUGGAAUACUUGGUGUAGCAGUGAAAUGCGUAGAUAUGCGGAGGAACACCGAUGGCGAAGGCAAUCCCCUGGGCCUGCACUGUCGCUCAUGCACGAAAGCGUGGGGAGCAAACAGG